CGCGUGGGAAUCUACCCAGUAGUGGAGGAUAGCCAGGAGAAAUCCUGAUUAAUACUGCAUACGAUCUACGGAUGAAAGGUGGCCUCUACUUGUAAGCUAUCGCUAUUGGAUGAGCCCGCGUUAGAUUAGCUAGUUGGUGGGGUAAAGGCCUACCAAGGCGACGAUCUAUAGCUGGUCUGAGAGGACGACCAGCCACAUCGGGACUGAGACACGGCCCGGACUCCUACGGGAGCAGCAGUGGGGAAUAUUGGACAAUGGAGGCAACUCUGAUCCAGCAAUGCCGCGUGUGUGAAGAAGGCCCGAGGGUUGUAAAGCACUUUCAAUUGUGAAGAAGAGAUUAAGGUUAAUAAGCUUGAUCUUUGACGUUAACUUUAGAAGAAGCACCGGGCUAACUCUGU
rnacentral:rRNA from 1 species